UAGUUUUUUGAGUGGUAUAUAAUUGUCUAGGUACUUUCCGUGGAUGGUUUUGCGAGCUGGGGACCAGCUCAAAAUUUUGCCGUAGUCAAAAUUUUCUUAGGGAAGGGGAGCACUGUAACAACAAAAUUUUAAUUCUUCAUUUUUUCAUUACUGUUUAGUAUGGGACCCAUCUUCGUUUGAUACCCUUAUCGCCAUCUAGCGAGCGCAGGCGUAUUCACGCAGCGCCCUAUCGAACUAAGCUUGGUCCGUGUUGCUAUAUUAAAAAUAAUUUCGGUUUCUUCCUACAUUUUUGGUUUUUUUUUAAUCGAAAGGGGUUUGUAAAUUAAAAUUGUCUUCAAAUAUGGUUUUCCGUUCUAUCUAAUAUUAGUCCAAGUAAAUUAAAAAAGAAAGGUAAUGUUUCCUUUUCAAAAUCACCUAGGAUCGCACGAAUCCAGUUCGGGCUUUGGUAACCCCGUCGUUUCAUCUGUCACCGAUGGCUCGCCACGUCGAGGGCCGUUCUUUUUGGAUUCGGAAGAGAUCGUAGCAAGGCGUGGUUGUUUCCUUUUCCCAACGGCCUGGUGCCGUCUGAGUCUACCUAUAUCGCGGUUUAAGCCGCCUAAUCCUCGUUGGAUGUGAAUCGUCCUGUGCAGUUGAAGCCCCGGGUGCAUUGAAAUUAUGCAAGUCCUUUCCUACGCCCGCUUAUUGUCUGCCCCGGGGUUUCAAGAUUUACCGUCUUUAUUACAAGUGUACGGUGUGGCCUCAAGAUGCCAGCUUCUGCAAACCGAGCUACCAGUGGCAGGGAGCUGUGUUUGGCGUUUCCCUACUUCCACGUCGAGGUUCCUGGUCAACGUGGCGGUUGUAUUGUUUACGGUCUCUCGAAGUUUUGGAGGUUAGAUCGACCCUUUAUUUAAUAUUAAUUACUGAACCAGAGAUGCUGGUUCUGGCGCCCUCGUACCCCUCACUACCGUUUAAAUUUGUCUGUCAGUAGGCCGCUUCUACCAAAACAUUUUUAAAUAAGAGUUCGCUAUACCCAUAACUGUUCCCUCAACACUUAAAUAAGAGUCUGGUGCUCGUGUUAUUUAGAUAAGAGCUAGUUUACCUUAAGUUCCUGUUGUUAAGGCCCUUAAGGCUC